UGUUCUCUGACAAUAAUUUGCUUAGAAAUC
rnacentral:piRNA from 1 species